UACAGAGGUCCCAAGCGUUGUUCGGAUUCAUUGGGCGUAAAGGGUGCGUAGGCGGCGCGGUAAGUCGGGUGUGAAAUCUCGGGGCUUAACUCCGAAACUGCAUUCGAUACUGCCGUGCUUGAGGACUGGAGAGGAGACUGGAAUUUACGGUGUAGCGGUGAAAUGCGUACGAUAUCGCUUGGAACGCCAACGGUGAAAACAGGUUGCUGGGGGUGUGCUGACGCUGAGACACGAAAGCCAGGGAGCGAACGGG
rnacentral:rRNA from 1 species